CGGACCCGUAGAGGUGAUCUGGCUCGGAUGUCGUAACAGGGGACCCUAGAGUUUGAUUUUGGUUCGAGAGAGUGGAAAACUGGUGAGUAACACGUGGGAAACCUGCCCAGAAGCGGGGGAUAACACCUGGAAACAGAUGCUAAUACCGCAUAACAACUUGGACCGCAUGGUCCGAGCUUGAAAGAUGGCUUCGGCUAUCACUUUUGGAUGGUCCCGCGGCGUAUUAGCUAGAUGGUGGGGUAACGGCUCACCAUGGCAAUGAUACGUAGCCGACCUGAGAGGGUAAUCGGCCACAUUGGGACUGAGACACGGCCCAAACUCCUACGGGAGGCAGCAGUAGGGAAUCUUCCACAAUGGACGAAAGUCUGAUGGAGCAACGCCGCGUGAGUGAAGAAGGGUUUCGGCUCGUAAAACUCUGUUGUUAAAGAAGAACAUAUCUGAGAGUAACUGUUCAGGUAUUGACGGUAUUUAACCAGAAAGCCACGGCUAACUACGUGCCAGCAGCCGCGGUAAUACGUAGGUGGCAAGCGUUGUCCGGAUUUAUUGGGCGUAAAGCGAGCGCAGGCGGUUUUUUAAGUCUGAUGUGAAAGCCUUCGGCUCAACCGAAGAAGUGCAUCGGAAACUGGGAAACUUGAGUGCAGAAGAGGACAGUGGAACUCCAUGUGUAGCGGUGAAAUGCGUAGAUAUAUGGAAGAACACCAGUGGCGAAGGCGGCUGUCUGGUCUGUAACUGACGCUGAGGCUCGAAAGUAUGGGUAGCAAACAGGAUUAGAUACCCUGGUAGUCCAUACCGUAAACGAUGAAUGCUAAGUGUUGGAGGGUUUCCGCCCUUCAGUGCUGCAGCUAACGCAUUAAGCAUUCCGCCUGGGGAGUACGGCCGCAAGGCUGAAACUCAAAGGAAUUGACGGGGGCCCGCACAAGCGGUGGAGCAUGUGGUUUAAUUCGAAGCUACGCGAAGAACCUUACCAGGUCUUGACAUACUAUGCAAAUCUAAGAGAUUAGACGUUCCCUUCGGGGACAUGGAUACAGGUGGUGCAUGGUUGUCGUCAGCUCGUGUCGUGAGAUGUUGGGUUAAGUCCCGCAACGAGCGCAACCCUUAUUAUCAGUUGCCAGCAUUAAGUUGGGCACUCUGGUGAGACUGCCGGUGACAAACCGGAGGAAGGUGGGGAUGACGUCAAAUCAUCAUGCCCCUUAUGACCUGGGCUACACACGUGCUACAAUGGAUGGUACAACGAGUUGCGAACUCGCGAGAGUAAGCUAAUCUCUUAAAGCCAUUCUCAGUUCGGAUUGUAGGCUGCAACUCGCCUACAUGAAGUCGGAAUCGAUAGUAAUCGCGGAUCAGCAUGAAGCGGUGAAUACGUUCCCGGAAGGGGUUCACAGGGCCCCAGAAAGUGGUAACAAGGUACCCGUAGAGUGGCCCAGGCUCCGAAAGUCGUAACAAUGUACGCUCGAAA
rnacentral:rRNA from 1 species